UCCUGGUUAGCUCAGUUGGUAGAUUGCUCCACUGGAAAUGGAGAAGUCCCUAAUUCAAUACCAGGACCAGGCG
rnacentral:tRNA from 2 species